CCUACGGGAGGCAGCAGUGGGGAAUAUUGCACAAUGGGGGAAACCCUGAUGCAGCGACGCCGCGUGAGUGAAGAAGUAAUUCGUUAUGUAAAGCUCUAUCAGCAGGGAAGAAAAUGACGGUACCUGAGUAAGAAGCCCCGCCAACUUACGUCCCGGAGCCGCGGGAAUACGUAGGGGGCAAGCGUUUACCGGAUUUACUGGGUGUAAAGGGAGCGUAGACGGCAGUGCAAGUCUGGAGUGAAAGGCGGGGGCUCAACCCCCGGACUGCUCUGGAAACUGUACGGCUGGAGUGCAGGAGAGGUAAGUGGAAUUCCUAGGGUAGCGGUGAAAUGCGUAGAUAUUAGGAGGAACACCAGUGGCGAAGGCGGCUUACUGGACUGUAACUGACGUUGAGGCUCGAAAGCGUGGGGAGCAAACAGGAUUAGAUACCCGUGUAGUC
rnacentral:rRNA from 1 species